GGCCAGACUCCUACGGGAGGCAGCAGUGGGGAAUAUUGCACAAUGGGGGAAACCCUGAUGCAGCAACGCCGCGUGAGUGAAGAAGUCAUUCGUGAUGUAAAGCUCUAUCAGCAGGGAAGAAAAUGACGGUACCUGAGUAAGAAGCCCCGGCUAACUACGUGCCAGCAGCCGCGGUAAUACGUAGGGGGCAAGCGUUAUCCGGAUUUACUGGGUGUAAAGGGAGCGUAGACGGCAGUGCAAGUCUGGAGUGAAAGGCGGGGGCCCAACCCCCGGACUGCUUUGGAAACUGUAUGGCUGGAGUGCAGGAGAGGUAAGUGGAAUUCCUAGUGUAGCGGUGAAAUGCGUAGAUAUUAGGAGGAACACCGGCGGCGAAGGCGGCCUGCUGGACCGUAACUGACGUUGAGGCUCGAAAGCGUGGGGAGCAAACAGGAUUAGAUACCCUCGUAU
rnacentral:rRNA from 1 species